AGGACGAACGCUGGCGGCGUGCUUAACACAUGCAAGUCGAGCGGAAAGGCCUCUUCGGGGGUACUCGAGCGGCGAACGGGUGAGUAACACGUGAGUAACCUGCCUUCAGCUUUGGGAUAACCCUCGGAAACGGGGGCUAAUACCGGGUAUUCAGCUUCUGCGGCAUCGUGGGGGUUGGAAAGUUUUUCGGCUGGGGAUGGGCUCGCGGCCUAUCAGCUUGUUGGUGGGGUAAUGGCCUACCAAGGCGGCGACGGGUAGCCGGCCUGAGAGGGCGACCGGCCACGACUGGGACUGAGACACGGCCCAGACUCCUACGGGAGGCAGCAGUGGGAAUAUGCACAUGGCGAAGCCUGAUGCAGCGACGCGCGUGAGGGAUGACGGCCUUCGGUGUAAACCUCUUUCGACGAGGACGAAGCGAGAGUGACGUACUGGAAGAGAAGCACCGCAACUACGUGCCAGCACGCCGACGGUAACUCGUGAGGUCCGGGCUACGGCCGUAAGGGCCGACG
rnacentral:rRNA from 1 species